rnacentral:rRNA from 1 species
CAACCUAGACUUAGCAGCUAAGGGUCUUGAUGUCCUAACUGGUGCAAAUAAUGUCAACAAUGCAGCAUGAUUGUAGCAAUACAAUUGAUGGCGACCGGCAAACGGGUGCGGAACACGUACACAACCUCCCAAUAAGUGGGGAAUAGCCCAGAGAAAUUUGGAUUAAUACCCCGUAACAUAACGAUGUGGCAUCACAUUGUUAUUAUAGAUUUUUCGCUUAUUGAUGGGUGUGCGGCUGAUUAGAUAGUUGGCGGGGUAACGGCCCACCAAGUCUACGAUCAGUAGCUGAUGUGAGAGCAUGAUCAGCCACACGGGCACUGAGACACGGGCCCGACUCCUACGGGAGGCAGCAGUAAGGAAUAUUGGACAAUGGACGCAAGUCUGAUCCAGCCAUGCCGCGUGAAGGAUUAAGGUCCUCUGGAUUGUAAACUUCUUUUAUAAGGGACGAAAAAAGGCUUUUCUAAGUCGUCUGACGGUACCUUAUGAAUAAGCACCGGCUAACUCCGUGCCAGCAGCCGCGGUAAUACGGAGGGUGCAAGCGUUAUCCGGAUUCACUGGGUUUAAAGGGUGCGUAGGCGGGCAGGUAAGUCAGUGGUGAAAUCCUAGAGCUUAACUCUAGAACUGCCAUUGAUACUAUCUGUCUUGAAUAUUGUGGAGGUAAGCGGAAUAUGUCAUGUAGCGGUGAAAUGCUUAGAUAUGACAUAGAACACCUAUUGCGAAGGCAGCUUACUACGCAUAUAUUGACGCUGAGGCACGAAAGCGUGGGGAUCAAACAGGAUUAGAUACCCUGGUAGUCCACGCCCUAAACGAUGGAUACUCGACAUACGCGAUACACUGUGUGUGUCUGAGCGAAAGCAUUAAGUAUCCCACCUGGGAAGUACGACCGCAAGGUUGAAACUCAAAGGAAUUGGCGGGGGUGUUAUCAAGGGUUUUUGCUCAAGAAAGUAUGCUCUGCCAAGGCGCAUACUGGACAGAGGAUGAAGCAGCUAAUUUUAUGAAAAAGUCCGCCUCGGAAUGGUGCACCCAAGCGGAUUGGGAAAAGCGAGCCGAAGUAAUCAGAAAAGGAAUU